AUCUCCUUCAACGUCUCACAACACAUUCUGGCCAGUUGUCAGGCCCUUUAAGUUCUUAUUUAGUGUCCAUAUAA
rnacentral:lncRNA from 1 species